rnacentral:rRNA from 1 species
UGGAUGAUGUGGUUUAAUUCGAUGCAACGCGUAAAACCUUACCACCUUUGACAUGUACGAACUUACCAGAGAUGGUUUGGUGCUCGAAAGAGAGCCGUAACACAGGUGCUGCAUGGCUGUCGUCAGCUCGUGUCGUGAGAUGUUGGGUUAAGUCCCGCAACGAGCGCAACCCUUGUCAUUAGUUGCUACAUUCAGUUGAGGACUCUAAUGAGACUGCCAACGAUAAGUUGGAGGAAGUGGGGAUGACGUCAAAUCAUCAUGCCCUUUAUGACCUGGGCUACAAACGUACUACAAUGGCCGGUACAAAGAGAUGCGAAGUGGCGACAUGGAGCGAACCUCAGAAAGCCGGUCUCAGUUCAGAUUGAAGUCUGCAACUCGACUUCAUGAAGGCGGAAUCGCUAGUAAUCGCGGGUCAGCAGACCGCGGUGAAUACGUUCCCGGGUUUU